AUGAUCAUCGAGAGCGAGCAGGAAGAGCCAGUGUUUGACAUUGAACCAUACUACAGGCAGGGUCCUCUAGCCGAAGUUGAUCACCAGCUACCGGCAACCUGGACUGCCUACCUCAGUAUGCGUCAGGAGAUUCGAGACCCACAAGUGCAUCAUCAACUGCAGCAGGAUCUGGUGCAGCACCUAUGGAGGAUCAAGGGCGACGCCUAG
rnacentral:rRNA from 1 species